rnacentral:rRNA from 1 species
AUUGAACGCUGGCGGCAGGCCUAACACCUGCAAGUCGAGCGACCGGCGGACGGGUGAGUAAUGUCUGGGAAACUGCCUGAUGGAGGGGGAUAACUACUGGAAACGGUAGCUAAUACCGCAUACCAUCAGCUGUGCCCAGAUGGGAUUGGCUUGUAGGUGGGGUAACGGCUCACCUAGGCGACGAUCCCUAGCUGGUCUGAGAGGAUGACCAUCCACCCUGGAACUGGGACACUGUCCAGACUCCUACGGUAGGAAGCAGUGGGGAAUAUGGCACAAUGGGCGAAAGCCUGAUGCAGCCAUGCCGCGUGUGUGAAGAAGGCCUUCGGGAUGUAAAGCACUUUCAGCGGGGAGUCGUUACCCGCAGAAGAAGCACCGGCUAACUCCGUGCCAGCCGCCGCGGUAAUAC